GAAGACUCCCUGAAGACUGAGGACGGAGUCUGCUGUGAGAGCUGGAGGCUGAGACGUGGCCUCCACACCUGUCUGUGUGUGUGUGUGUGUCAGCGCUGAAGAGAUGACGAGGAAGAAGAAGAAGAAGAAGAAGAAGAGCUGCUGUGAGAUUCUCUUCCUGACAUUCUCCAACCCUGGAUUUGGGACAAGGUGGAAUCGAACCAGCAACCUUGGAAUUUGGACUCUAACUACCGAGGAAACGUGACAGAGGCAGACAGAGUGUACUUAAAGUACUACUUCAUCAGGAGAGACUUUUGAAGACCUUCCUGCCGACUGAUCGUCUCAAAGACUAAAACUGUCUCUCAGGCCCCAGAUCUGGUUCUGGAUAAGCGCUCAGCCUCCUGGCCAGCUGAUCCUCCAGAGACAGCCUCUGUUUUUCAGAGAUAUAAACAAGUGAUUCAUACUCAUUUCCAGUAACUUCUUGAGGUCAGAGGAAAAG